rnacentral:lncRNA from 1 species
AGUCUUCAUUGGAAUCACCUUCAAGGUGUUAAAGUUGAUAGAAGAACAACAUGGUUGGAGGAUGGGCAUCGAGCGAGUUCAUGUAAAAAGCGGGAGCGAGACAUGGUACUGUUGAUUAAAGAUACGGUUUUGGAGGAUAGAAUAUCACGUGAUUCUACUAUAGAAAUUAGAAUCUCCUUUAUUUCAAAUUAUACUAGAACAAUUAAUAUAAAAAGUUGUCGAAAUUUCUAAAUUUCUUCCCUUAAAGUUGUUAAUAUGAUAUGUUAUAAAAUGAGUAAUCAAAAAAUAUUGACUAACACGUAGAAAUAAAAUCCGUCUUCAUCCUAUAAUACUUCAAAUACACUAAACAUACUUAAAAUUAUCUUCAAUAAAUUCCACAUCUACAGGUUCGAAUCCAUGGAGCAUACACGAAGAAACGGAUGUUAGACGAACACCUUGCAAACUAUUUGAAUCUAAGAAUCCCUUUGAGACAAUUCAGGAAGUUGUUCUUCAUUGUCCGUAAAUCCAGACCCAACUGAACUUAUAAUUGCGAAACUGAGGGCUUAUAUUUUUGAUGAGACGAAAAUACGAAAACUCUUCAGAUGUGACCAAAAGCCAGAUAGAGUAAAUCGAAGAAAAAUACUUCUACCUUGAUCAUCCAUCUCAAGAGGGCAUAUUCGACUUCUUCCUUACAAAGGAGAUUAAAAGAUUGCAACAUUGAAGAGAUCAAUUUUUGAUGAGUAGGGAAUUUCAAUAUUUCAAAUAUAAUUAUUAUUUACUUCAUUUCAAUUGGUACGAAACACGUAUUAUAUUGUGAUAUUAAUUAUCACUAAGUAUGACGUCUUUAUCGUUACAUUGAAAUAGUGAGUAUUAUUAAGAUAA